rnacentral:lncRNA from 1 species
UUUUUAUCACUUAUAAAGAUGUAGUAUAAUUUAUAAAGCAAGGGAUUAGUUCAGAAUUUAAUUAAUUAACUGAUAAGUUGUGAUUAGGCUAAUUGUAUUUCUUGUGUAUAGUUUGUUGUUCGUGAUGUUUGCGAUAGGUUCGAGAAGCGUAAUUAUUGCGCUUAAUUGUACGUCGAUAAUUAGUAUCUCCGUAUGAAAUUGUUCAACGCCUCACCGCUAGGUGUUAAUUCGCUAUCGCGUAGUACUAUUUAGGUUUGUUAUAUUUCCGUCGAUAUGCAUUCAUGUGCAUAAUGCAUUCCAUUCAGGUACGUUAAUUAAUCGCGUGUUGCGGAAGACGAGCCAAGUCGACUCCAAGCGCGGGCUAUUCCGCAGGAUGAUGCUGAUGGACAAACCUGAAGAUGGUCGUCAAGUGGACGCCGUCUAACAAACACUAACCCAGUGUUUAUUCCAGGCAAGCCCUGGUGCAUGCAACCCCUUCCUUGUGUUUUUAAAUAAUUUUUGCGCACUUUAAGUCUAGUGAAAUGUGCAUUAGGUUUAUAUGAGUUGCUUGGAACCUUUGAUGCAUUGCCUUCCUUGAUAUCCAUACCUUUAUAGAUACUUCUGGUGAAGUAUCAAAAUAUGAUUUACAAAAAUGCUUAGCCCUGCUCAGAUCUUGUGGAUAGAGGUUGUCUUUUGCAUUAAGGCCUAGCUCAAGGGUUAUCCUGGGGAAAGAUGGCUUCUACCUGCAAGAAUAUUUUUGUUGAGAGCGUGGUGGGAUCUUACUGCAAAGUUCCCUUUGAUGCUCUUUUCUUCCUAAGGAAUACAAACAAUCCUAAGGGUGGAAGUACUUAAAUCGGGACUUGGGCUAGGAACAGGUGAUGUUCUACCCAGGUUGAUUAAGGAUUGGAUGCGUAUGUAGGCCUGCUAGAUCAAGGACUAUCUUAACUAGCCACAUACCCUGGAAAUGGGACAGGGUAAGCUUUGCCUCGGGCAGACUAAUACCAGAAUAAGAUAACACGCAAUGGGAGUGGAGAGAUGACGAGAGUAGCGUGUACCCUUCGUGGCAAGAGGCUGGACGGUGGUGUAUCUGUGCUCUCGGUUGGCGUGAACCUGAUCUGGUCUUAAGAACCCCAGUGGCGAGUUGACAUAUGCAAGGGUUAAGUGCUACAUAUGUCGUGUGGUUAGAAAUCCUCAGCUAAGUAAAUCGAUUCGGAUCACCGUUAUAUCCCCGAAGAGUGGAGACUUGAUCACUGACCUGCAACCUAAGUCAGGAUGUGGACAUUAUGAAUAAAAAUGAUGUUGUAUUGAUGAGAUGGUGAAAUUAGACUAGAUGCAAUCAGAGUCUAUUAAUAUUUAAUCUGGCGUUAAAACAUUGAAAGUAAGGAUUCACUUUAGUAAGCUAUUUCUGCAAAAAUAUCUAAGUUGAUUCUUGCUAAAGCCUUUUCCUUGAUUCCCAUUAAACCAGCAUACCCUUGAGAGUCUUUUCUUUUGUCGGGUAAGUCUUGCUGAGUAAUUCCAUACUCAGGGUUUUAUUCCCUGUUGUUUUUCAGGAUAUAACUUUGUGCUGCUGUGAUGGUGUUAAGUGCCGGUGGGCUCGGCCUUCUUAUAGAAGUAUACCCUGUCUUUAUCUUCUUAUUGAGGAUGGUCACUUGAGCUAGCAUAUAUUUCAAACUUAUACUUUUGUAAUCACUCCGAUAAAAUAUUAUAAAAUUUUUGUAACUUGUAAAAUUUGGUAAUAAGAUUUCCG